rnacentral:misc_RNA from 1 species
GCGGCUCGGAAUCUAGAUCAUUCGUGUUCGUUGUUUGGGAUCGUUUUCUAAGCGCUUGGAAUUGUAUACCGUAGUCCUUGGGUCUUCCUUUUCUCUCUUUAUUCACGGUUUUGAGGUGUGAACAAGCUCACUUGAACAGAAUCAGCGUCUACGAUGAUGCAAGUGUUGUUGCCAACGGUCAGGAGAGUCUAGAUCGUUCAAAAAUGGCCUUCGUCGGAGCUGGUUUUUCUCUGGCCAGCUAGGGAAGAAGAUG